AUGGACCUGCUCAGCACCGUCUGUCUGGUCGCAUGCUCGGUGUCUUUGUACCGUCUACUCGUCUGCAACCGGCCGGCUGUUUUCAAGACACCCUGCUUGCUGAUGCCCGAUCCUCACAGGUGGCCCAGACACCGACUUGACGAUCCUACGGAGGUUGCAGUGGUUCCCCUGUACAUGCUACCACUACCUGUCCACCUGUCCUUCAUGCGCGGCCACAAUUGGGCGGCCAUGAAGGCCAACUGGAUCGUCCUCAUCCACCAAUCCGGUAGUCCGUGGCAUCUCGUGGAUAUCUACACCCAGCGAGAGAUCACCCUUCCAUCGUUGGAUACCGCCGCCAUCGAGCCUCGCGGCCUGCCGGACACUCCUCCCUACUACGCACGAGACGGGUCGAGCUUUUGGCUCGACCUCUGUUUGCUGAAUGUUGUUAUCUGCGAAGUGCCCACACCAUCACAAGACUACAUGGAUUACAAGCUCAUUGUCGUGUUCAACAUGGGAUUAGUCUGUCUGGAAUCCAGUCGCCAUACAUGGUUAUGGCUCAUUGUCGAUCCUCUUCACCCAACAUUUCUGUCUGAUGCUAUAGUACUAGAUGGGCAUCGUUUAUGCGGUCGAUGCACAUAUUGGCUGCCUAUACUGGUGGAAUCUAUCGUCGUGUAA
rnacentral:rRNA from 1 species